UGAUUUAAAGCAGACAAGAGGAAGAAUGUAGGUUAUAUGCAAAUACUAUGUCAUUUUAUAUAAUUACAAGCAUGCAUGGAUUUUGGUAUUCGUGAGGGGUCCUGAAACCAAUCCCCCACAAAUAAUGAGGGACAACUCUACAUAGGGUUGUCUAUCUAGAUGGAGAUAGAAGUUCAGAAAUAUGGAUCUACACAUAUUCAUGGGAUGGAUUGUUUGUAUGAUCAGGAUUGGAGGAUUGGUAAUAAGGAAGUCUGUGAGAGAAGGAAACAUGGAUCCAGCAAUGCUGAGGUGGAAAUACUUUCCCUAUUGCACAAAAUAACCCAUUCACAAAAAUGUUGCUUUCCAUCCCUGAAACUUUGUACUUUGAUGGCUAGAUAUUAUAGUUCUCAAGGAAGGAAUACUUCUAUUAAGGAAAACAUUGAUUGCCACUCAGUCAUUUUGAGCUACUCGUACCAUUGCAACUAUAAGCAAAGAAGUAGGUUACUCUACUGGCUGGCAUGAUUGGUCUGAUCACCAAGAGUAAAUUGGAUUGCUGCUACAGUGGUGGCAUGGAAGACUAUAUGGGAACUAGAAGAUUCUCUGGGUGCCCUGUUAUACUUCCACAUCCAACAGCAAAAGAUUAAUAGGAGACUACAACAGCCCAAGUCUGAAUCAUUUCACCAAUAAAAUACCCUAAACAUGAGGUCCAGGCUGGGGGAAACAAAAAAAAUCAAAACAUAGAAUAGCUAGUGGAAAAAAAGAGAAAUUAUAAAUAUCAACAAUGGUCUUGGGAUCAGUUACAGAAAUGAGGGCUGAAGCAACUAUGAGUGUUUUCUUUCCUGCUUGUCAUAUACGUAUAUAUAUUGCAUAUAAGGAUUACUGGUGAUGGUUAAAUUGAUGUUGUAAUCUAUAUAUUACAGUAUAUUGAGGUGUGCUAGUGAUCUCUGGGACUAGAGGUGGACCAAAAAGAGACUCUGACAUCAUCCAGAGUGAUGUUACUGACGGGUGGGGCUUUGUGGGUCUCAUUUUUAGAGAGAAUUUGUAUCCUCAUUUCAGGAGAGCAUUGGUCCCAUUAGAAUUAAGCAUGAUGUUAUUAUCUUUGAGUGGAGUUUAAUUAUGAGUGGGAGGGUCUGCGUGGAUGUUUAAGUAACCAAGGGGUGGAUAGUGUUAGAUAAUGCCUCAAGUAUCUAAAUGCUUGCCCUGUCUUGGCCCUGGCUAUUUUUUUCUUUUCAUUUUGAUGGAAAAAAAUUCUUAUACAUUUUAAUAAAAUAAAUAAAACUA